rnacentral:tRNA from 1 species
GCCUCUGUAGCUCAGUUGGUAGAGCGCUCGACUGUUAAUCGAGUGGUCCAAGGUUCAAGUCCUUGCGGGGGCG